rnacentral:sRNA from 1 species
AUGACGUAUUCGACGCGGGCGCGGGGGU